rnacentral:misc_RNA from 1 species
CAAUAAUUUCACUUCCCUGAAAAAACUAGUACUUGAAGACCUCUUCAAAGAACAAUGUCAACUGGUCCAAGCAGGAGAUAACCUCCCUCCCAAACACAAAUAAGAAAUAUCUGCGGAAUAACAACCAAUGGCAAGUAAUUUCCUUGGUAUGCCAAUGAAUAAUCCAAAUAAAUGCAGGAAUAUCCCACUACUCAUCCUCCAUCCAGCAAAUUUGACAAGCAGCUGCAAUUGAAAUCAC